rnacentral:rRNA from 1 species
CAGCAGCCACGGUAAUACGGAGGGUGCAAGCGUUAAUCGGAAUUACUGGGCGUAAAGCGCACGCAGGCGGUCUGUCAAGUCGGAUGUGAAAUCCCCGGGCUCAACCUGGGAACUGCAUUCGAAACUGGCAGGCUAGAGUCUUGUAGAGGGGGGUAGAAUUCCAGGUGUAGCGGUGAAAUGCGUAGAGAUCUUGAGGAAUACCGGUGGCGAAGGCGGCCCCCUGGACAAAGACUGACGCUCAGGUGCGAAAGCGUGGGGAGCAAACAGGAUUAGAUACCCGCGUAGUCCCUGUCUCUUAUAA